GUUUGCUGUGGCCCCAAGGUCUGGCCCAGGGUGGGGACUUUAGUUCUUAUGGGUCAGGUUCUGAGAUCCAAGCUCUUUCAAAAAGAGCCCUGUAGCCCGUGAGUCUGGGGAGAAUCAGGGAUGGUGGCUGGCCGUGCCCUGGCAGGGGUGGGGCGAGAUGGGCCUGGGCAGACGUAGGCAGGUCAGCAGGGGCAUGCCAGGCCCCCCUCGGCAGGCUGCAGAAGAGAGGCACCCAGUCCCCGGAGCGCCACCCAGCACAGAAAAUGCAGCUUUGGUACCGAAAGGCUGAGGCCAGGGCUUCCUGGUGGCUCGUCCUGAGCCCUGGGGCUGGCCCGUGACCUAGUUUCCUUACGGUCCUUCAUGUGCAUUCUGUGUCCCCACUGUCAUGCUUCUGUGUUGUGCGAGUCACCCACUCAGCAGCUGGGGCCGCAGCAGACCUCCGGGGUGGAGGAGGCCUAGGCCUGGAAGAAGCUUCUGGAGCUCGGGGAGGACGGUGGCAUGUCUGUCUGUCUGACGGUCGUGCCCCAAGGUUAAGGAGACCCCCCGACUCUGGCCUUUGUGCUGGUGCCAGCUGGAGGCCAACUCCUGCCGCACGUGCGAGGCUCCUGCCGCCCCGCGUGGCCAGCUCUGGUGCACAUCUCGGCGGCAGCUCUCCUGCUCGGAGCUGCGGUGCCGUCCAGCCCUGGGCCACCCCUCGGCCCAGUCCAGCCUCCACAACAGCUGCCGUCCGGCACUCAGAGCCACCGCCCAGGGGGACAGGUGCUCCUCUGCCUGCUCCUGAAGCCUGGCAGCAGCCAGCCCCUUCUGGCCCAGAGUGGUGGUGGAGGUGGAGGCUGCGGCAGGUGUGGGUGUUUUGGAGAACAGGGCCGGCCAACCCUGCCCACAGGGCUGAGGGCGCAGGCCGAAUUUCCUGCUCAAGGGGAACUCGUGUGCCCUCUGUGGGCCUGACAGGGCUGCAGGAAGCUCAGGACUGGACCACCAGGAAGGCUCUGGAGCCCUGGAGGUGGCCCGUGCGCCCGGAGGGGAGCCCCGGUGUGGAGCGGUGGAUGCUGCUGUGUCACAUAGGCCCGCAGAGUACAGGACGCUAGGAGGAUCCUCCGCCCCGCUUAAGAGCCAACCUCAGACUCGAGACUCGCUCCGUCCUCACCGCCCUCAGCCUGCCCCAGGCCACGUCAUCUCCACCAUCGUGGGCCUGGUCAUUGCCGCGAUGCCUGCUCCAGGCGCUGUGCUGGCAGCUCAGGGAGUUGCUCAACAACACCCUCAGCGAUGUCGCAUUCUGUCCCCGUAAACGCAUUUAGGUCGAAACUAUCUGAAGUCGAAAAUGCCUUUAAUAUGUGGGGUCUUCCAAAGUUCAUGUGCAUGGAAACCUAAGCACAACUUCGCAUUUUCCUCUUGCAGCAAAAUAAACUCCCCUUUAACCUCACUUUGCAUGAGCCUCCUGAAGUCCCCUCAAUGCUCGAACCCCAGCGCUGUGGGCUGACAGCCGGGCCACCGCCCAGACGGCUCCCUAGUGACCACGGGGGUGCGAGCCCUGGGAGUGCCCCCCCCACAUGCACGCUGCUUCCUCGGCCGAGUCACGGUGGGCAGCACCCUUGGACACCAGGGAGCAGGCCCUUCCGAACCUCCCUGCCCCGAAGCCCUGGGGAGGCCUGGAAGGGCGGCGUGAGACCCCAUCUGUUCUCCCACCCUGUCCUCCCUGCACGCCACAGUGGAGCAGGGGCUCUGCUGGAAUGCCGUGGCCUGGGCUCUCUCCCGCCUGGCUCCAGGAGGCUCUUUCCCCCGGGCUCCCUGCGGGCCCCCUCUCUGCCCAGUUGGGGGCUCAGAGGCUGCAGCCAGCCCAGGCUUGGAGGAAGGCUUGUCUCCUGGCCCCCGUCAGUGCCCUCUCCUCAUGGUCUCCCAGUGUUCCCACAUGUGGCCUCCCGGAUCAUGUACCCCGUCACAGCCAAGCCCUCGGCCAGAUGCCCCUGCUGUUUUAUUUUGGACUUGUUCUUGUCAAUAAUGCCCUAUUAAAA